rnacentral:snRNA from 1 species
ACAUUCUAAAUUUGGGAC